rnacentral:rRNA from 1 species
UACGUAGGGGGCAAGCGUUGUCCGGAUUUAUUGGGCGUAAAGAGCGUGUAGGCGGCAGUACAGGUCAGCUGUGAAAACUCGAGGCUCAACCUCGAGACGUCGGUUGAAACCGUACGGCUAGAGUCCGGAAGAGGAGAGUGGAAUUCCCGGUGUAGCGGUGAAAUGCGCAGAUAUCGGGAAGAACACCCGUGGCGAAGGCGGCUCUCUGGGACGGUACUGACGCUGAGACGCGAAAGCGUGGGGAGCGAACAGG